UCGUGGUUUGUGUCGAACCUUGCUAACAUCGGAUCUGCUGAAAUAGUGCCUUUGUCACGCUGAAACACAUCCACUAAUCAAUUCAUCACCCAUAGAAAAAUUCACCAUGUUGGUCACCUAGAAUUCCAAAUGUCCAAUUGAUUUACGUUCAAAUAAAUCAAGAUCUAACCAUAACGUCAAGUUUCAAGCUAAGUGCAAAUUAGAUAUUAGAGAAGCAAUGGAGCUAAAUUAGGAUAGGUCAUGCUUCGACCUCCACACCUCAUUUCACUUCUGGUGC
rnacentral:lncRNA from 1 species